rnacentral:rRNA from 1 species
UACAGAGGUCUCAAGCGUUGUUCGGAUUCAUUGGGCGUAAAGGGUGCGUAGGCGGCGCGGUAAGUCGGGUGUGAAAUCUCGGAGCUUACUCCGAAACUGCAUUCGAUACUGCCGUGCUUGAGGACUGGGAGAGGAGACUGGAAUUUACGGUGUAGCGGUGAAAUGCGUAGAUAUCGUAAGGAAGACCAGUGGCGAAGGCGGGUCUC